AAGUUUAAAACAUAAACUGUAGUUAAAUAGUCAAAUUAUUGAAUAACGGCAAGUUCAACUUCUAAAAUGUAUUCGGGUAAUGGUGAUCACGCCACGGUUUGUUCCAAAAUGAAGUAUUAUUAGAAUAAAUUGCAAUUCCUACGAGGGCUACACUUUAUGAAAUAAAAAAAUGAUUUAGUUCCAAUUCAGACGAAUGAAUACAAAACGUUUUUUUAGAGAGCAGAAUAAUUUUUAUUUUUAACACAAUAUAAAUUUCCAAAUGAAAUUUUCGAGGGCUCAUAGUCUGGUAAUCAACUUUUACUUGGUGUAGAGUGUGUAUAAUUUUUGAUAACAAGUAAACGAUACUUAUUAUAGGCAGUAGCAGACGAGAAAAGGUUCCCGGCUAUCGAAUAGCGACUGACGAGAAUUGAGUAUCGACUGAUUCGACUGUCGUCUACUCUACUGGUCUAUCAACAAUUGAUUAAUGCUAAUCACCAUACUAUAAUAUACCGUAACAUUGUGAUCAUGAAAAUUAAGAUAAGAUUUAGAAUUAAGAUAAGAUAAACUACGGCGGACAAUUAUUUUUGUUCUACAUGAUUAUCUUUGUACGUUAUUAUUAAAAUAGAUUAUUAUUAUUACGACUAGGGGAAAUACACCACUAGGUUCAAAUUUGGAAAUAUUCUGAUGUGAAUAAUUUAUAAUUUAUAUCGUUGACUGUAUAAUGGAUUGUAACAUCAUACAACGUAUUUUACUAUUUUAUAAUGCAUAAAAUAAACAGUCGUGUAGCCAAUUAAAAAAAUAUGUUAGUCACGAAUUUUUAACCUAUAAGUAAUGAACCACAACACCAUUUCUAUUGACACUGCAAAAAAUGUGAAUUUUAAAUAACUAAAAAAGAUACACUUGUUGAGGAAUCAUCGUUAUUAAUCUUUAAAAUAAUUAUUAACACAUGAUUAAACGUCACUAAACUAUAACAACGGCAUACGAUAAAUUCGUAAUAUAUCAGUGCCACGGUUGUGUAUUAUAGGUAUAGGAGUGGCCAGGCAGCCGGAGUGCAAUUAAAAUGCAUUGUGAUCAAUCAACUCCAAGGACGGAUUUAUGACGCAUCGAGACUAAUAUCUAUAAAAAUGGUGCGCGACGGUACGAGUGCAUAACGUUAUGUACUUAUAUAUAUAAAUAUAUAGUUAGUCACCAUGCCUCGACGUGUUAUAUUAUAUUAAUGCAUGUGCAUGUGCAUGUCUGAGAGAGACGGACAGAGAUUGAUUACGAUAGAUAAUAAUUUAAUAACAAGCGUAAUAUGACGUGCCUCCCCGCCGGGUCAGCGUACAUUUUGCAGCGUUUCGUCUACUAUAACGAAGGUAAUACAGAAUUAUGAUCUCUCGACGACCGCACGGAUUUCAUCGAGGUCAACUCGAGGAGCAAAUGCAAUAAUUCCUGACAAAGAAUCCUGCAAUGUACUUCAAGCAAGUUCAAGUAUAUACUUAUUGUAUG